GGCGGGACACGUGGUAUCCUGUCUGAAUAUGGGGGGACCAUCCUCCAAGGCUAAAUACUCCUGACUGACCGAUAGUGAACCAGUACCGUGAGGGAAAGGCGAAAAGAACCCCGGCGAGGGGAGUGAAAAAGAACCUGAAACCGUGUACGUACAAGCAGUGGGAGCACAGGUUUACCUGUGUGACUGCGUACCUUUUGUAUAAUGGGUCAGCGACUUAUAUUCUGUAGCAAGGUUAACCGAAUAGGGGAGCCGUAGGGAAACCGAGUCUUAACCGGGCGUUAAGUUGCAGGGUAUAGACCCGAAACCCGGUGAUCUAGCCAUGGGCAGGUUGAAGGUUGGGUAACACUAACUGGAGGACCGAACCGACUAAUGUUGAAAAAUUAGCGGAUGACCUGUGGCUGGGGGUGAAAGGCCAAUCAAACCGGGAGAUAGCUGGUUCUCCCCGAAAGCUAUUUAGGUAGCGCCUCGUGAACUCAUCUCCGGGGGUAGAGCACUGUUUCGGCUAGGGGGCCAUCCCGGCUUACCAACCCGAUGCAAACUGCGAAUACCGGAGAAUGUUAUCACGGGAGACACACGGCGGGUGCUAACGUCCGUCGUGAAGAGGGAAACAACCCAGACCGCCAGCUAAGGUCCCAAAGUCAUGGUUAAGUGGGAAACGAUGUGGGAAGGCCCAGACAGCCAGGAUGUUGGCUUAGAAGCAGCCAUCAUUUAAAGAAAGCGUAAUAGCUCACUGGUCGAGUCGGCCUGCGCGGAAGAUGUAACGGGGCUAAACCAU
rnacentral:rRNA from 1 species